GCGGGUAUCGUAUAAUGACUAUUACCUCAGCCUUUCAGGCUGAUGAUGCGGGUUCGAUUCCCGCUGCCCGCUGCA
rnacentral:tRNA from 1 species